AUACGGAAGGUCCGGGCGUUAUCCGGAUUUAUUGGGUUUAAAGGGAGCGCAGGCGGAGAUGCAAGCGUGACGUCAAAUUUCGGGGCUCAACCCCGUCUCGCGUCGCGAACUGCGUCCCUUGGUUGCGGGAAGGGGAGGCGGAACUCGUGGUGUAGCGGGGAAAUGCAUAGAUAUCACGAAGAACUCCGAUCGCGAAGGCAGCCUUCCGGCCCGUCAACGACGCUCAUGCUCGAAGGUGCGGGUAUCAAACAGGAUUAGAUACCCUGGUAGUCCGCACAGUAAACGAUGGACACCCGCGGUUUGGCCUAUAUGGCUGAGCCGCCAAGCGAAAGCGUUAAGUGUCCCACCUGGGGAGUGCGCCGGCAACGGUGAAACUCAAAUGAAUUGGCGGGG
rnacentral:rRNA from 1 species